UUAUUGGAUGCUGAAUAAAUCUGGUUACUAAGGCAAGGGUGGGUUUGAUAUGAAUUGCUACAAAAAAUUAUUCCCCAUCACACUGCAACUCUUCCUUCAGUAAAUACAAUAUUGAUUAAUAAAUUAGUUGUUCUUUUUAUAAUAUAUCGGUGCUGUUACUAUUAAUUUGUUCAGUCUUAUGUAUAUGUUACAUUGAUGAAGAAAGAUGGUCCUAUGCUGUCUGAAGAUGUAACAGUUUAUAUUUUUUAUUUUGAAAAGCGAUAUAUUUGAUAGAAAGAAAAUGUCAGAAGCCAUGACUAACUAUUUUAGAUGAUCUUUGUCCUAUUCACCAUUUUUCCGUUGCUAGUUUAUUAUCUGAGGACGAGGCAGAACAACCGGCGAGUAAUACUGGAGACACCCUUGCAUUCUUACACAACAUAUUUGCCUGGGCUGAGAUGUGUUGAUAAUUCAGAUGGAUUAUUACAUAGAAAACUUACUACUAAAGAGAUAAUUAUGUCAGUAGAUGUUGAAAUGACAAUUCUAGACAUUGUUUGCAUUUUGUAAAAGAACUCCCGAUUACAUGUAUUAGAAUAACUUUGAUGUGACCGUUUCGUAUUGUUUCAUUCAUUGCUAUGGUGACUGACUUGUUACCAUGGUAACAAGUGUGUUGUAUACUAAUCUAUAUGAAUUUAUACCUAUGGAGGCCGAGGCCAGAGGGGUUGACAUAUUUCUGAUAGUUUGAUAGAUUUCUUGUCCACAACAAUCCUGUAUAUGGGUGACUGUCUUCAGCUGGGAAUAUGUUACAAUCAUUUGUGAAUUUUUCCAUUACCAAAAUAGACUUUUUUUCUGGAUAUAUUUUAGCCCAUGGAAUUUCUACAGGACAGGAGUUCUGUGGGGCUUACACACAGAUAAUUUGAUGGACAGUGCUGACUACUACUAUUACACGUGCAUGCUGAUGGCAUUUCAGAUGUUCAUUGGCAUGUAUUGCCCAAGUUGAAAAUGCUGGAAAACGUUCUUCACUAUGAUUAAAUGUGUAAUUUUCUUUCUAUUAUAUAUUUAGUGAUCAAUUCAUUCAUGUGCAAAGCAUAUAAUGAGGGUAUCAGAGAUAGUAACUUGUCCUUUUAUCUCAAAGAUCCAUGGGGUGGGCUAAAAGGUACAGGGCCACACAAAAUGUGCUUUCAAGAGUUAAUUACCUUAACAUGGGUGGAUAAAAUAAAAAAUAAAGUACAAGUUUCAGGUCAAAAAAAAUAUUCAUAUUGUCAAAUUUAUCAUUUUAAAAUCUAUUCAUCUUUUAAUUUAAAAAAAAAUCAAAUCUCUGAGGUUUAAAAUACCAUUUUGUCUCUUGAUAUAAAGAAUCUUGAAACUAAUUUUUGUGGCCUUGUUCAGUGCUCUGUUUCUGAAUUGGGAAGGGGGACAAUAAUGCAUGUUUAAUCAUUCCAGCAGUUUCUUCUCCGUCUAUUGCUGACAAUACUAUAAUUGUUGAUUUUAGCAUAUUUUGUUUAUAUAUAUACAUAUAUAUUAUAUAUAUUUAUCAUUUAAAGAAUCUAGACUUUUUACUCUGUCAUUAAAUAAAACGUGAGAUC
rnacentral:sRNA from 1 species